rnacentral:snoRNA from 1 species
AUGUAUCUCUGACACACCUGGAACAGUUAAUGUGUGCUGUGGAGGUUUCCACUACAGACACAAGAAAAAGGUCCUUGCACUUUCUGUCUGUCUGGUUGUGGCAGUCAAGACUGAAUUGGGGGAUACAGGA